rnacentral:rRNA from 1 species
UACGUAGGAGGCAAGCGUUGUCCGGAAUUACUGGGCGUAAAGCGCGUGUAGGUGGUGGGACAAGUCUGCUGUGAAAGCGCCUGGCUUAACCGGGCGAGGUCGGCGGAAACUGUCCGACUAGAGGACGGUAGAGGGGGGUGGAAUUCCCGGUGUAGUGGUGAAAUGCGUAGAGAUCGGGAGGACACCUGUGGCGAAGGCGGCUCACUGGCCCGGUACUGACGCUGAGGUGCGAAAGCGUGGGGAGCAAACAGG